ACUACUUGGAUAACCGUGGUAAUUCUAGAGCUAAUACAUGCUGAAAACCCCAACUUCGGGAGGGGUGUAUUUAUUAGAUAAAAAACCAACGCCCUUCGGGGCUUCUUGGUGAUUCAUGAUAACUUCACGGAUCGCAUGGCCUUGCGCCGGCGACGGUUCAUUCAAAUUUCUGCCCUAUCAACUUUCGAUGGUAAGGUAUUGGCUUACCAUGGUUUCAACGGGUAACGGGGAAUUAGGGUUCGAUUCCGGAGAGGGAGCCUGAGAAACGGCUACCACAUCCAAGGAAGGCAGCAGGCGCGCAAAUUACCCAAUCCCGACACGGGGAGGUAGUGACAAUAAAUACUGAUACAGGGCUCUUUUGGGUCUUGUAAUUGGAAUGAGUACAAUUUAAACCUCUUAACGAGGRACAAUUGGAGGGCAAGUCUGGUGCCAGCAGCCGCGGUAAUUCCAGCUCCAAUAGCGUAUAUUAWAGUUGUUGCAGUUAAAAAGCUCGUAGUUGAAACUUGGGCCUCGCUGGCAGGUCCSCCUCACCGCGUGUACUUKUCCGGCCGGGCCUUUCCUUCUGGAGAACCUCAUGCCCUUCACUGGGUGUGUUGGGGAMCAGGACUUUUACUUUGAAAAAAUUAGAGUGUUCAAAGCAGGCCUUUGCUCGAAUACGUUAGCAUGGAAUAAUAGAAUAGGACGUGCGGUCC
rnacentral:rRNA from 1 species